GACGAACGCUGGCGGCGUGCUUAACACAUGCAAGUCGAGCGGAAAGGCCACUUCGGUGGUACUCGAGCGGCGAACGGGUGAGUAACACGUGAGUAAUCUGCCCCUGGCUUUGGGAUAGCCACCGGAAACGGUGAUUAAUACCGGAUACGACCACUUCUCGCAUGGGAUGGUGGUGGAAAGGUUUUUCGGCCAGGGAUGUGCUCGCGGCCUAUCAGCUUGAUGGUGAGGUAAUGGCUCACCAUGGCUUCGACGGGUAGCCGGCCUGAGAGGGUGACCGGUCACACUGGGACUGAGACACGGCCCAGACUCCUACGAGAGGCAGCAGAGGGGAAUAUUGGACAAUGGGCGGAAGCCUGAUCCAGCAACGCCGCGUGAGGGAUGACGGCCUUCGGGUUGUAAACCUCUUUCAGCAGGGACGAAGCGCAAGUGACGGUACCUGCAGAAGAAGCACCGGCCAACUACGUGCCAGCAGCCGCCGUAA
rnacentral:rRNA from 1 species